rnacentral:rRNA from 1 species
GACGAACGCUGGCGGCGUGCCUAAUACAUGCAAGUAGAACGCUGAAGAGAGGAGCUUGCUCUUCUUGGAUGAGUUUCGAACGGGUGAGUAACGCGUAGGUAACCUGCCUUGUAGCGGGGGAUAACUAUUGGAAACGAUAGCUAAUACCGCAUAACAAUGGAUUACACAUGUCAUUUAUUUGAAAGGGGCAAUUGCUCCACUACAAGAUGGACCUGCGUUGUAUUAGCUAGUAGGUGAGGUAAUGGCUCACCUAGGCGACGAUACAUAGCCGACCUGAGAGGGUGAUCGGCCACACUGGGACUGAGACACGGCCCAGACACCUACGGGAGGCAGCAGUAGGGAAUCUUCGGCAAUGGGGGCAACCCUGACCGAGCAACGCCGCGUGAGUGAAGAAGGUGUUCGGAUCGUAAAGCUCUGUUGUAAGUCAAGAACGGGGGUGAGAGUGGAAAGUUCACACUGUGACGGUAGCUUACCAGAAAGGGACGGCUAACUACGUG